rnacentral:rRNA from 1 species
CCUACGGGAGGCAGCAGUGGGGAAUAUUGGACAAUGGGGGCAACCCUGAUCCAGCCAUGCCGCGUGUGUGAAGAAGGCCCUCGGGUUGUAAAGCACUUUCAGUGAGGAAGAACGCCUGGUGGUUAAUACCCAUCAGGAAAGACAUCACUCACAGAAGAAGCACCGGCUAACUCCGUGCCAGCAGCCGCGGUAAUACGGAGGGUGCGAGCGUUAAUCGGAAUUACUGGGCGUAAAGCGCGCGUAGGUGGCUUGAUAAGCCGGUUGUGAAAGCCCCGGGCUCAACAUGGGAACGGCAUCCGGAACUGUCAAGCUAGAGUGCAGGAGAGGAAGGUAGAAUUCCCGGUGUAGCGGUGAAAUGCGUAGAGAUCGGGAGGAAUACCAGUGGCGAAGGCGGCCUUCUGGACUGACACUGACACUGAGGUGCGAAAGCGUGGGUAGCAAACAGGAUUAGAUACCCUGGUAGUC